ensembl:lncRNA
CUCGGAGCAACACAAGGAAGAGGCAGCAGUGCAUGCCAGCCAGCCCAGGGAUUAAGGGAGGAAGUGCUCCUGAGUGGGGAAGAUGGCUGCUAGCCAGAGCAGGGGGCUGCGGGGCCCUCGCUCCUGCGGCGUCCCCGGGCUGCUGCGGGGGGGGCUGGCGCUGCGCCCCGCUCCUCCGUGCUGGCAUCCCGCUCGUCGGCACCCGGAGAGCUCCAGCCCGAGCAAAGCAGCACCUCCACCUGCGCCGGGAGCCGGCAGCCUCCGAGCCCGACCGCCCAUCCCCGAGAGCCGCUGGCUUCACUGGAGCGUUCGGGUUUAAACAUUGCCGGGGAGGGAGCAGCCCCGGCCAGCUGCGAUCCAGGACACGGGGCAGGAACUCAGCAAUCCGGCCACAGAAGGAGCGGCGAGGCAGCCGCGGAGCUCCUCGGCGUCACCUGAACACGGAAAGGCUUCGCUCCGUCCUCACAUGAGGCCAGGGGCCACCUCCCGGCCCCAGAAGCCACAGAAACCACAACCGAGCCCCUCUGCAGUCGAUCUCUCCGGGUGCCAGGGCCACCGCGCCGGCCCGGCGGUCACCAGCCAUCGCAGGUGCCGCCGCCGCCUCUCUCCCGGUGCCUUGGCGAGGCUUCCAGAGCCCGGCACAGCGCUGGGAUGCGGCGGCUCCGGGAGCCCCAGCAGCGUGCACACACAAAGGGAAGCACCGACCCUGGGACGGCGUUAUUCCAGCGCCUCCACUCCCGCCCCGGGAUCUCUGAACACAACCAAAUCCAGCUCCUUCUCCAUUUCUUUCUGGAAGCCGCAAGGCUCCCUCUCAGGGUCCUGCACUGCCUGCUCCAGGCCCUCAGGGCUCUCCGGUGCUGUGAAGGUGGUUUUGGGAAUAUGGUACAGAAGUGGCUGCCUCACACCAAGAAAUGGAAAAGUUUUAUGAAGCUCCUCCUGCCUGCUCUGCCCAUGUGACCUCCUUUCCCCCAUUCCCACUGGAAACAUCAGUGGCCGAUUGUGGGGGGACAGACCCUCCUCAACACCACCUUGGGGACCACAACUGAACCCUGCCAGAGCUGGGACUGCUGCUGGGACCCUUUGGCGAGCACAGAGCACAUUAUCUCCUUUCCAGAGGCCUGAUUAGGAAUCCAAAGUAUAAUUCCUCUCCCUGGAUGGAGCUGUGAGAAGUCAGAAAAGGUCACAGUGCCCGGAUGAGGAACGACCACAACCCUGAGCCGUGGUGGCAGAGCCUGCAGAGCCUUGGUCCUGGAGCUUUUAGAAAAAGUUCUCAUCCUAAUUGUGUUCAGGCAUCUAAAUAAGAUACAGAAUUCCCAACAGGAUCUGGGCUGCUGCCGUUAGGAGCUGGAAGGGAAUGGGGAGAUUCUCUGGAGCUCCGGAUGGGAACGGCUGUGUGCUAAUGGUGCACUGGAAACCUGAGCCCACCCGAGCAGGAAUUUGCUGGCAAUGGUGUGAAACAAAGGCUCUGUCCUGGGAAGUCAAAACCCCAGCAGAAUUGUGGAGAUGCGUACUUCAACUUGUCUUCAAGAGAGACACUUCGCAGCCACCGGUUUAUGCAAAGGAAAUGCAAAUGAGGCUGAUAAAUAUGCAGUAGGAUGGAAAGGCGACAAAAGGUGGCUGUGCGAUGUGCGAGUGAGCCGGGGGCUCAUCCGGAGACAUCCUGACCCGCAGCCUCGGCUCUGCCGGAGCCUCUCCGCCCUGGAGGGGACGAGAGCGCCCGCAGGGCUGCUUUGAGCCCGGGUGCUCCUUCUCCCACCAUCCCUGUCCCGACUGGAACUUCUGGAGCCCGCUGAAGGUGAACGGCUCUGCCCAGCAAAACGCCUGUGAAACCCAGCGGGGGCAGAGGAAAAAAUCCCAAACAACAACGGGAUGCUGCCAGAGGAUUCAGCAGCCGGUGCAGAACAGAAAUGCCCCCCCGGCGUGGGGAGGACAACUGCUGCCACCGGCCAGGGACUUCUUGGCUGCACAGGUCCGCGGGGAGCGAUCGCUGGGCAGGGAUGGAGCCGGCAGGAGGGAACGCUGUGCCAGCUGAGGCCAGCCCUGCCCGGCUGCCGGCUCUCUGCUUUCCAGUAAUCUGUUAAAAUAACUGGAAUAAAUCAAUAACUGCAUGCUUCA